rnacentral:tRNA from 2 species
GGAGGAGUGGCAGAGUGGUCGAUUGCACCGGUCUUGAAAACCGGCGUGCGUGAGAGCGCACCGUGGGUUCGAAUCCCACCUCCUCCG